GUCCGCACCGGGGCGCCCUGCGCACACCCUUACCGCCCGGCGGCGUCCGCCGACCCCGGAGUCCUGGCCCGGGGCGCGGGAGUCCGGAGGGCAGGACCGGGACGCUCGCGCUGGCCUCCCGUGCGGUGGCGUGCGUGAGCGUCCCUUCCACUUCGGCAGCCCGCACCGCCUCCGUAGCCUCCCAGGUCUGGCCUCCUGCCCCCCUCCGAGCCCCACCGCGCGCCGACCCGGAUCCCGGGCGCCUCACGGCGCGGCUGCCAGCUGGGCCUGGCGCCGAGGCUCGGGCCCCCAAGUUGUGGGAGGACGCCGGGCCUGUUGACACUUCCCUCGGACUCGGGGGAAGACUGUUACCAGAGGAGCCUCCUUCGGCACGAGCCUCGUCGCUGCCGCCUCGGGAAGGGAGGAGAGCGCAGCCGACCGGUGGCCUGACGCGGUCGCAUCACAGGUGUCUCAGUGGCCGCGCGCUUGGAGCAGGUCACAGACGUGCGCGCGGCGGCGAUCCGGGCUUCCCUGCGAGGCCGAGGCCCAGGCCGGCGGCCCGGUGCGUGGCGGGCGGCGAGGGGGCGCUGUGGCCCGCGACUGCGGCCUGCUGGGCUCCGCGCAGGGCAGGGCUCGCGUGGGAGAAGGAAGACACCGCGAGCGCUUCGGACCCGGCCGCUCCCACCGCUUCUGUUACUCUGGCCUUCCUUGGAGUACCCCGGGAGAACGCAGCUCUGCGUGCAGCAGCCCUCGUGCAUUCCUGCUUCCGGACGCCAGAGCGCACCUCAGUGCAGGCCAGUGCAGCGCCCUGCUGCGGCACCGCGGGCCAUCCCCGGAGCAGCAGGCCACCUCCCAGGCCAGCGCCCCCUCCUUGGAGGCUUCAACCUCAAGACUCUUGUGCUGCUGCCUCCUGGCUGCUGAGGCAGCCACUUCCAGGGACGCUGGCUCUCCCUUCCUGCCCCCCACCCUGCCCGGCACGCUUGGCACUGUGGGCAUAGGACAGGCACCGAGCAGAUGCAUGGACGCAUGUGUGACUGGCCCUUGGCAACUCACCUUUCUGCCAAAAGCGAUAGCAGGGCUUGUGGGUGAGAAACAACGAUGACGUGGACGCCUGCGUACAGUCCCCACUGCCUGCUGCUCCGGCGGCCUCCCCACACCUGGUCAUUGCUACGUUUCCAUCUGAUGUUUUCCGGAUGACCCCCACAGCCUCAGGACAUCUUCAGUGGGGCUGCAGGGAGGCGACUGCAUUGUGGGGGCUGAUGGCUGGCUUGCUGUUGGGAGGGGCCGUUGGAGGACACAGGUCACUGGGGGCGUGGCCCAGAAGGGUCUGCCUUCCUCCCUCAUCUCCCUGCUUCAUCUACACCCCUGCCACGAGCAGCUCUCCUCUGCCAGGCCCCUCUGGCCUGCACCCUGCCCUCGGAGCCAGCUGACUAUGGACUGAAGCCUCCACAGACUGGGAACCGACAUAAACCUCUCCUUAUAGUUGAGGCUGUCCAGUGUCGUGUUCUAGCAACAAAACAGGUGACUAAGACAGUCACGGCCACUGCAAGGAAGCCGGUCCAAGCACAUCACUCCUUGGCAGCCCCAAGUUUUAAGACCAACAGAUACAGACAUUUAAAAUCACAUUUAAUUCUAAAAUUCCCGCUUGGCAAUCCAAUCUUGGAGGACAGGAAUUGCCCCUGACCUUCCUGCCCCCAGCACAUGGCUGUGAACUGAGUGAAUGAUGAAGCUGCAUGUUGACAUUUGGGAAGAGGAAACUUAAGAGCAAACCGGACUUGGAGGAUAUUUUCAAUACAAAUUCAGAGCGGGCCUGUGUUAGAAACCAAUGUAAAAAAGUCAUGUAGGCCCCAGCAAGGUUUUCAUAGACUGCGUGAGCUUAUGCUUAAGUAAGCAUGCAAAAGCUAAGGCUUCAGAAGAGCUCAAAGAGCUUUUAAGCAGCAGAAGAGAGUGGGAGGACUCAGCCUACCUGACCCUGAGAUGAGUGGAUGUCAACAUGAGGAUCGGUUUGUGGUGGAGGGUGGACACAGGCCAGCAGAGCAGAGCGGACAACCCAGAGGGGCCUGUGCUCACGGGGGCCCCAUUAGUUAUUUCCUAGCUCUGGGUUUGAGCCCAGGGCGUCACACCUGCGAGGUCCGGCCUCCAUCACUGAGCCCGCCCCCAGCCCCAUUUGCUUUUGCGGGGGAGGGAUUCAGCCUUUUAGCAACUGGAGCUGGAGCAAAGGGGCAACACUAAGACAGCAAGUUUUACAAAAGAGUUUCUUCACACAGCCAGGCGUGGAGGAGGAGAGCCAGGCUCAGCCUCCUCCCAGAGGGCAGGGCUUAGGGACAUUCAUGGAAGGAGUAGGAUGGCCUAAGGCGUGGGGAGGCCAGGGGCACAGGGGAGGUUGGCGGUGGGCUGCACGGCUCCUCAGAGGACACACGUCUGGAUAACACGGCACUGACAGAGCAGAGGGUGCAGCUCUUGACCCCUGGGUGUUGAAGAAGUCAUCUGUGACCCUGCACAGCCCCAUGCUCAGAGCUGGGGCCCUGCCAAAGUAGCCGGGCAGCCCAGAUGCCCAUUGCCUACCCCCAGCUGGUCACCUGCAGAGGAGGUGGCUGGUCAGUGACACCAUGCGCAUCUUCCUGACCUCCAAAAUGCAAGACUUUCAAAGUCACCUAAAAGCAAGUAACAAUGCAAGUGUCCCUCAGUUUCAGACCUGCAGUUCCCUGCUUGACCGCCGGACCCUGCUCCUGAAGAGAGGAGUCGCUGGGUGCGGCCUCUCAAUGUCAGGCGUCUUUGCAGAGAGCCGCCCUCCCGGAGAGGUGCUCACGGGGGCCUGGACCUGGCCUACGUCCCUGCCGGUGAGCGGCACUGUGUGCAGGUGGACUGCGCUUCAUCACCCUUUGGCUGCUUUAGACUUGUGAGCUGUUCCCAGUGCUCGGGCUGUUUUGGAAAACAGACGAACACUGCUUUGACUUCUUAGUGCAGCCCUCUAUGACAACUUUUCAUUCAUCCUGGGUGAAACCCUAGGAGUGGAGCAG
rnacentral:lncRNA from 1 species